ensembl:lncRNA FLRT2-AS1 FLRT2 antisense RNA 1
AGGGAGGGAACUAACUUAACCCUGUGUGCGCCUGACACUCCCUAGAGAAGCUGGGAUCGACUAGGAAACCGCAGGCAGCGGCUCCCGGGGGCGAGAGCUUUGUUCACGUGCGUUUCCAGUGGGUGUGUUGCUGUCUAGGGGCACUCGCGUGGCAAGACGCCCGUGGCUGGCUUCCAGCGCCCAAGAUUCAAGGAAGGGAAGGAGCCCUAGCGUUUCAUCCGGACCAGACCCAGCCCUCGGAGUCUAUUUUUUGCCUCCAGUUACCGGAUUUAUUGAAGUUGCCAGCGAAGUUGGUUUUAUUCCUUUACUUCUCUGCUCUCCGCCCCCGUCCACAUCCCCCAACCCUGUAUUAUUUCCUGUCCUAGCUGCGCUUUAAAGAUUCGGAACUUUUCACUCGUUCUAGCUACAGAUUUUAACUGUGUUCCGUGUGCGAGACGAAUUGUGGAGGGCACCCACCCACCCAUGCCAAGUGUAAAUGAAACCGCAAGAAAAGCUGCCUCCCACUCACCCAUCCAGUGUCCGAGUAAGCCUAAUGACACACAUUCACAUAACUAAGAAGACACGGGAAGAUAGGGGUGCGGAGGACGGAGUUUGAUGUGUGAAUGGGAAAUGGAGAGAGGGGACAGCGCGCGCGAGAGAAACAGCGCGAGCCUGAGCCUUAGAAUGGAAUAAACGGGAAACACACACAAGAAUGACGAUGCAAAAAAUGUAUCUAAGUCCCAACAUUGACAGCAGAGGGUCAGCUUUAAGCGCCUACAUUUUGAUCCGCGAAAUUUCCCAGCUUUUUUGGAGGCGGUUACAUAGAGAACACAGGAGCCUCUGCCUUGGCCGCCCAGAUGCUUUGCAUUUUGUAAACAGCUUUGACUAAGUGCUCUGGACUUCCAAGAAGUUAACUGGAGUGGAAGGCGAGUCAUAUUGUGGAUGCGGAAUGGAAGCUUAGACAAGAAAAAACUGUCAGCAGAGCGCCUCUGCUCUCACCGUCACACCCAAAUGAGCCAGGACGUCGCUCAGAGCGCAAACUGAGAUCCACACAGGGACAUCUUCAACCGAAUCUUUCUUCUGUCUCCAUUCCGGACUAAGGAAAGAAAGAAAGAAAUACGGAGCCUUUAUAGAGUAUUCAGAGGCUACACACAUGGAUCUUGCUGAAACGGAGUUAUUUAAAAACAGAGAAAGUGUGUUUUCCCAUGAGAUAGAUGUUAUAGUUUCUCUCUGAAACAUACCCAAGUCUAUGGGUGUCAAUAAUAGCCAUUUCAAAUGCCUCUCUGAGCCUUGCCAGCCCCAGAAGAGGCUGUGGGAAUGCUGCUUCCAGCUUCCCCUGUGCAGAACUCCGUUGUAAAUCCUUCUGAGUUUCCAAGGUGGCAGCAGAGCAUAGGGAUAGCUCCUCAAGCUCCAGCAUCAACAAGGAAGAUCACAUUUUAGGACAAAUACUCAUCUACCUGCAUUUAAACAUCCAUUUUCGUAUGUUACAAGAUGAUUAUGCGUGAACAAAAACAGAAGGUACAUACUGGCAGGAAACAAAAGCACGUUAAACCAUGGAGAUUUCCUCUUACAUAAACCUGCCAUUUGUUAAGCAGUUGCUGUCUGUUCCACAGGGAAGCUGGCAAAAACUUGAUACAAACAUUCUCCAACUGCACUGGGAGGAAUAAGUGAAGGUAACAUAGAAAACUUCAGGCCAGGCAUGGUGGGUCAUACCUGUAAACCCAGCACUUUGGGAGCCUGAGGUGGGUGGAUCACCUGAGGUCAGGAGUUCGAGACCAGCCUGAACAAUAUGGUGAAACCCUGUCUCUACUAAAAAUACAAAAAUUAGUGGACGUGGUGGUGCGCACCUGUAAUCCCAGCUACUCCAGAGGCUGAGGCAGGAGAAUCGCUUGAACCCGGGAGGCAGAGGUUUCAGUGAGCCGAGAUCGCACCACUGUACUGCAGCCUGGGCGACAGAGCGAGAUGCUGUCUCAAGGAAAAAAAAAAAAGAAAGAAAACUUCAUAUGUCUUACAGGAUGAUACUCAUACAUAUGGAAAAGGCAUACAGCUGUAUCUGAGACAAUUCAUUACCAACUACGGAUAAACUAGUUAAGAUAUAGGAUAUGCUGACAACGGGUCACCAUCUGUAAAACGUGUUUAUGGAAAAUAAAACAUGUAUUUCCUAUGCCUAUACCUGCAACCUUCUUCUGAUUCAGCAGCAACCCUAAUGUCUCUUCUUCUACCUUCUAGAAGUUUACCACUUUCAUGCUACUACUUUUAACAUAUUUCAAAACAGUGAGAUUCAAACUAUGCAAUUAUAGAAGAAGAAGAAUUAAUCAAAAUGGAUAUCUAAAUAAUUGAAUGGGUAAGUUAGAAUCAUUAAUAACAAGAAAAUGUGGAUGUGGAGACAUCCACAUGCUUAUAAUGAUGGACAAAGCAGUGUGAAAUACAGCUAUGGAAUUGUUUCCUCUUCCUUGUAUAUCAUAAUCUAUAAAUGUCUAGUUAUUACAUCAUUAUCUCUCAUAGCUAUAGCAUCACUUUCUCAGAUUUCCUUAAUGUCCCAACAAAAAUUCAUGUUCAUUCUACCACUCCUGGGCCUUGUGUACUUCUCCUUAACAGUUGUUUUCUUUGCACUUUUCCAGAUUAAACUUCAUCUUGAUAUUAUAGAUUUUUUCUUUUUUUUCUUUAGUAUAUGAAUGGUAUCUGCAUUUUAUUACUUAUGUUAUUAAAUAUUUCUGAAACCCUA